UGUGGUACCCCCUGCCUGGCCUGUGU
rnacentral:piRNA from 1 species